GAUCAGUAAAGACAUGCGAUCGUACGUUUCUCUGUGAAAUAGAGAGAGAAAGAAGGAGCACAAGUCUCUCUCUCUCUCUCUCUCUCUCUUUCUCUCUUUCUUUCUUUCGAAGUGGCGCGUGUCGUCGUCUAAACAAUCAUCGAACUUUCUAAUCGUACGUUUCUUUUUGUUCGUAUUCGAACGAGAGAAACGAGUGAAUAAAUAAAGAGAGAGAGAGAGAGGGAGAGAGAGAGAGGGAGAGAGAGAGAGAGAAAGGGUAGGAGGGAAAGAGGGAGGGGGAGUGGUUCCUCUUGUUCUGAAUCUGGAAACGUAUAGUGUUUUCUAUCUAUUACGAAAGUAAUAUGCCUGGCUAAAUAUUAUGAAUCAUGAGAGAGAAAGAAAAUGGAAAAUAGAUUGAAAAUAAGGGAUGAACGAACGUAAAAAAAAGAAAAGGGGGA